rnacentral:rRNA from 1 species
UGGCUCAGGAUGAACGCUGGCGGCGCGUCUUAAGCAUGCAAGUCGAGCGGUAAGGAAGAAGCUUGCUUCUUCCCCAGAGCGGCGGACUGGUGAGUAACGCGUGGGUGACGUACCCUUGUGACGGGGACAGCUCCUAGAAAUAGGAGAUAAUACCGGAUACGCUGAGUGUUGUCAGAGGACAUUCAGGAAAGGAACUUUUGUUCCGCACGAGGAGCGGCCCGCGUACUAUUAGCUAGUUGGUGAGGUAACGGCCCACCAAGGCAACGAUAGUUACCCGGCCUAAGAAGGUGAUCGGGCACAUUGGGACUGAGAUACGGCCCAGACUCCUACGGGAGGCAGCAGUGGGGAAUA